GAUGAACGCUGGCGGCGUGCCUAAUACAUGCAAGUCGAGCGAACAGACGAGGAGCUUGCUCCUCUGACGUUAGCGGCGGACGGGUGAGUAACACGUGGAUAACCUACCUAUAAGACUGGGAUAACUUCGGGAAACCGGAGCUAAUACCGGAUAAUAUAUUGAACCGCAUGGUUCAAUAGUGAAAGACGGUUUUGCUGUCACUUAUAGAUGGAUCCGCGCCGCAUUAGCUAGUUGGUAAGGUAACGGCUUACCAAGGCGACGAUGCGUAGCCGACCUGAGAGGGUGAUCGGCCGCACUGGAACUGAGACACGGUCCGGACUCCUGCGGGAGGCAGCAGUAGGGAAUCUUCCGCAAUGGGCGAAAGCCUGACGGAGCAACGCCGCGUGAGUGAUGAAGGUCUUCGGAUCGUAAAACUCUGUUAUUAGGGAAGAACAAAUGUGUAAGUAACUAUGCACGUCUUGACGGUACCGAAUCAGAAAGCCACGGCUAACUACGUG
rnacentral:rRNA from 1 species